GGGAUAUCCGAUGCGCCCUUGAUGUCGGUUCCAUCUCACAAGUACUUACAAAUCCGUAAAACCCUGCUUCAUAUUUAUAUCAAACAGUCUAGGUAGACAGCUUCUUGAGUUCACGGAACAUUUUCGUCGCCCAAGAAGUAUCCAACGCAUGCAAGUAUAUACCCUUAAAAUGCAUCAACAAUAUAUUCCAAACAACUCCGUCCCGCUUCUAUUUUGUUCAGACCACGAGACCCUUAAAAAACCAAUUAAAUACAACAUAACCUUCACAUCCUCAUAGUAAUUAACUAAUUUUCCAUCUUUACUUUAACUUCCAGGGCCUUCGGCUCCAACCUCAUCACAUAAUACUCCACAUCCCACUUCCCAAUCACAUAGUGGCCGUGCUCGAUGUCGACAAACCCAUGUCGAAGAUACACGGGGUGUGCCAUCAUGGAAGCUUCCAGCCAUACCGGCACCAUCAGGUGGUUAGCGAGAUCGCAGCCCCAUUUUAUGAGCUGGCUUGCGAUUCCUUGCCCCCGGUAUUCGGGGAGGACGAAGAGGGCGUCGAGCUCUGAGAAUCAUGUUAAACCAUGCCAACAGUAAUUGAUGUAUGUGGCUACACAUUAGGCGGGUGCUCAGAAUAGCCCAGCCAGGAUGGAUAUGCUCGUGCAAGGCAUGUAGGUUUCCUCAAAGAAACAGGACAUGAUCCCGUGCUGGAGGGAUGGAAGGAGUAUAUAUAGAUACAAACAUUCAAAUACGCAAAUGGACUAUAAAAAGAAAAAGAAAAACCAAAAAGCUAAAGAACAAAGGAAACCCACCAAUAUGCCCCUCCCUCAAAAGCCUCAGCUUCCGAUCCACAAUAUCUCUAAACAUCACAUCUAAAAUCCUCUUGUCCUCCACAUCUUCGAGCCAUAUCAUGUCCUCCAUCUUCAGUUCAGGUCGCGCCAGGGGAACAUACGCGGGUUUCAACUUGUAAUUGACCACGCCAACAAUUUUACGACCGUUGUUCGUAUCGAUAGCCUUGAGCCAGAUGGAGUUACUUUGAGUCGCGAACUGCUUCAAGCUCCUCUCCUUGAAGAUCUGCUGGUUGCGCGGGGUAUCCUCGCCAUGUAUUAGCUGCUGGAAGGGUUCUUGUUGAAACGCUCGGAAAUGACCUUGGAUUAUUUCGCUCCAGUCUGAGGCUUCUAUUUUCGUGAUGAUUAUAUGAUCCAUGAUUGCGGCGUUGAAAUGAGGGAUUUUGGUCUCCUGUUUAUUAUUUCCUCUUAAUUUUUCUAGAGAUGGUAUCCAAUUGUGGGUGCUCUGGUUGACUAGUCUGUAUGUUUGCUAUUUAUUAAUCAAUGUUAUGAUGACUACGGAGCAUUUUCCCACACAAAUUUCAAAAUAUUUGAC
rnacentral:sRNA from 1 species